CCUACGGGGUGCAGCAGUGAGGAAUAUUGGUCAAUGGACGAGAGUCUGAACCAGCCAAGUAGCGUGAAGGAUGACUGCCCUAUGGGUUGUAAACUUCUUUUAUAUGGGAAUAAAAUGUUCCACGUGUGGGAUUUUGUAUGUACCAUAUGAAUAAGGAUCGGCUAACUCCGUGCCAGCAGCCGCGGUAAUACGGAGGAUCCGAGCGUUAUCCGGAUUUAUUGGGUUUAAAGGGAGCGUAGGUGGAUUGUUAAGUCAGUUGUGAAAGUUUGCGGCUCAACCGUAAAAUUGCAGUUGAAACUGGCAGUCUUGAGUACAGUAGAGGUGGGCGGAAGUCGUGGUGUAGCGGUGAAAUGCUUAGAUAUCACGAAGAACUCCGAUUGCGAAGGCAGUUCACUGGACUGCAACUGACACUGAGGCUCGAAAGUGUGGGUAUCAAACAGGAUUAGAUACCCCUGUAGUC
rnacentral:rRNA from 1 species